CCGGCUGGGGAUAAUCCGCGCCCAUGCAAUUUGAGGCCAUUACACCUCACCCUCUCAUCACUCUCUCUCCAUCCGACGCCGAGGUCGCGACACACCUGAGCAGGGAGCGCGUGCCAGUGCCACCACCCAUGGCGAGCACCAACAUGGCCUCGGCCACCUCGCGGUUCAUGCUGGCUGCCGGCGUGCCCGCCACCGGCAUCAGCGGCAACGGCAGCGGCCGCGUCAGCUUCGCGCCGGUACCAAACAGGCUGGGCAGGAGGCUCGUGGUGCGGGCCGAGGAGGAGGCCGCGGCACCGGCCGAGCCCGCGGCGGAAGGGGAGGGCGCCGUGGCCACCAAGACCAAGGCCGAGAAGCCGCCGCCGAUCGGGCCCAAGAGGGGCGCCAAGGU
rnacentral:lncRNA from 1 species